CACCGCGGUUAUACGAGAGACCCGAGUUAAUAGAUAUCGGCGUAAAGCGUGGUUAAGAUAAGAUUCACAACUAAAGCCGAAUGUUUUCAGAACUGUCAUACGUCCCCGAAAAUAAGAAGCCCCACCACGAAAGUGGCUUUACAACCCUGACUCCACGAAAGCUGGGAAA
rnacentral:rRNA from 1 species